rnacentral:rRNA from 1 species
UGGUGGAGUGAUUUGUCUGGUUAAUUCCGAUAACGAACGAGACCUUAACCUGCUAAAUAGACAGGCCGACUUUGGUUGGUCGCCGUCUUCUUAGAGGGACUGUCAGCGUCUAGCUGACGGAAGUUUGAGGCAAUAACA